AACGAACGCUGGCGGCAGGCUUAACACAUGCAAGUCGAACGGCUGUAGCAAUACAGCAGUGGCAGACGGGUGAGUAACACGUGGGAACCUUCCUAGGGGUACGGAACAACUCAGGGAAACUUGAGCUAAUACCGUAUACGUCCGUAAGGAGAAAGAUUUAUCGCCCUUAGACGGGCCCGCGUCGGAUUAGCUAGUUGGUGGGGUAACGGCCUACCAAGGCGACGAUCCGUAGCUGGUCUGAGAGGAUGAUCAGCCACACUGGGACUGAGACGCGGCCCAGACUCCUACGGGAGGCAGCAGUGGGGAAUCUUGGACAAUGGGCACAAGCCUGAUCCAGCCAUGCCGCGUGAGUGAAGAAGGCCUUAGGGUUGUAAAGCUCUUUUGGCAGGGACGAUAAUGACGGUACCUGCAGAAUAAGCCCCGGCAAACUUCGUGCCAGCCGCCGCGGUAAAAC
rnacentral:rRNA from 1 species